rnacentral:rRNA from 1 species
CCUACGGGAGGCAGCAGUGAGGAAUAUUGGUCAAUGGACGAGAGUCUGAACCAGCCAAGUAGCGUGAAGGAUGACUGCCCUAUGGGUUGUAAACUUCUUUUAUAAGGGAAUAAAACGAGGCACGUGUGCCUGUUUGCAUGUACUUUAUGAAUAAGGAUCGGCUAACUCCGUGCCAGCAGCCGCGGUAAUACGGAGGAUCCGAGCUUUAUCCGGAUUUAUUGGGUUUAAAGGGAGCGUAGAUGGGUUGUUAAGUCAGUUGUGAAAGUUUGCGGCUCAACCGUAAAAUUGCAAUUGAUACUGGCAGUCUUGAGUACAGUUGAGGUAGGCGGAAUUCGUGGUGUAGCGGUGAAAUGCUUAGAUAUCACGAAGAACCCCGAUUGCGAAGGCAGCUUACUAAACUGUGACUGACAUUGAUGCUCGAAAGUGUGGGUAUCAAACAGGAUUAGAUACCCUGGUAGUC